CAAUAGAAAUAUUCGUUCGCUGUCUUCUUCCUCUCAAAUCGGCUACAGCCAUUGCUCUCUUCUUUCGAAAAGCUAAAGCCUUUUCGUAAUUUCUUCAAGUUUCUGCAGUGGGUUUUGUAGAUUGAGGUGGGUUUGUGAUUCUGGGUUAGUAAGAGAGUGGUGUAUAAAUCAUGGAUUCGGAUCAAGGAAAGCUUUUUGUCGGUGGUGUUUCAUGGGAAACUGAUGAAGAUAAGCUGAGAGAACAUUUCAGUAACUAUGGAGAGGUUUCGCAAGCUAUUGUGAUGAGAGACAAGCUCACAGGUAGACCUAGGGGUUUUGGGUUCGUUAUCUUCUCGGAUCCUUCUGUUCUCGAUAGGGUUCUUCAAGACAAACACAACAUUGAUACUAGAGAGGUUGAUGUGAAGAGGGCCAUGUCAAGAGAGGAGCAGCAAGUCUCUGGAAGAACUGGGAACCUUAAUACAUCUAGAAGUUCUGGAGGUGAUUCUUUCAAUAAAACCAAGAAGAUCUUUGUUGGAGGCUUGCCACCUACUUUGACAGAUGAAGAGUUUCGUCAGUAUUUUGAAGUUUAUGGUCCUGUGACUGAUGUUGCAAUCAUGUAUGACCAGGCUACUAACCGUCCUCGUGGGUUUGGAUUUGUUUCCUUCGACUCUGAAGAUGCGGUAGACCGUGUGUUGCACAAGACUUUCCAUGAUUUGAGUGGUAAGCAAGUUGAAGUUAAGCGUGCUCUUCCUAAAGAUGCCAAUCCUGGAGGUGGACGAGCAAUGGGUGGUGGUGGUUACCAGGGUUAUGGUGGUAAUGAAAGCAAUUAUGAUGGGCGUGUGGAUUCCAAUAGGUUUAUGCAGCAUCAAAAUGUUGGAAAUGGUUUACCAUCUUAUGGUUCUUCCGGUUAUGGUGGUGGGUAUGGAAAUGGUAGUAAUGGUACUGGAUAUGGUGGGUAUGGAGGUUACACUGGUUCUGCUGGAGGUUAUGGCGCUGGUGCUACUGCUGCAUAUGGAGCAACGAACAUUCCAGGUGCCGGCUAUGGAAGUAGUUCUGGAGUUGCCCCGAGAAACUCAUGGGACACUCCAGCUCCUAGUGGUUAUGGGAACCCAGGCUAUGGGAGUGGUGCUGCUCAUAGUGGAUAUGGGGUUCCUGGUGCAGCUCCUCCUGCGCAGUCACCAUCUGGCUAUAGUAACCAAGGCUACGGAUAUGGAGGGUACAGUGGAAGUGAUUCUGGUUAUGGAAAUCAAGCUGCAUAUGGUGUGGUUGGAGGGCGUCCUAGUGGUGGUGGUUCAAACAACCCUGGUAGUGGUGGCUACAUGGGAGGGGGUUAUGGUGAUGGAUCUUGGCGAUCUGACCCUUCACAAGGUUAUGGUGGUGGGUACAAUGAUGGUCAGGGUCGACAAGGCCAGUAGUGACUAUUUAAGGGGAUUAUCACCACCCUGGUUUUUGGAUCCUUUUCAAGAAGAAUUUGGCUCAAAUCAAAGGUUCCUCGACUUCAUAACGGGGAAUAAUGCUUCAUGGUACUUGAUUAAGAAAGCAGAUGGUGAGCAGAACUCGAUGGAGGUGAGAGUCAACCGCUGAAUGUAUGGUUUGAGUAGAAAGUAGAGGACUUAUCGAGGGGUGCUUGAGUUCUUAGGUGGAGCAACGACUCAUCGAGGUUGAAUUCGAGGUCUGUUUCUACUCGGAGUUGAGGUAAGCGCUUGAAGAACGAAGAGUCAAGUUGUUAUCAGUAUGUGGUUUCAGUAUGUGAGCUACUACUUAGGUUCUUUUGUGAGGGAUGAGAUUGAAGAGAAUGAAACAAACUUAAAUAGGCACAUACUGUAGAAGCACAAAGGCACCCACAUUGUUAAAAUUAUCUUAGGAGAUUGUGGUUUGAUCCAUAGUGAUGGAUAUUAGAUACCAAGUUCUCAUAAUUAUAGAAACUAGUGGAAACACAAUAGUACAAAGCUUAUCUUGGAAUGGGAAAUACAAAGCUAAUUUAAUU